UUAAAUAAAUUUAUGUAUUCGAUAUAAUACGACUUUAUAACAUAAUAAUACAUAAUAUACUCAAAAUACUAUCUCAUAUCCAACUUUGUAUAUAACUCAUAAAAUCCGCGCUUUCAAAGCGCGGAUCAAAAUCUAGUAGUUACCUUUAUUUGUGUGUGAAUCAAAGAUCUUCUUCUCUCCAUUUUUUCAUUUUAUUUUUCUGAUCUGCGUUUCUUCUUCUUCUACUCUCGAUGAUCAUCAACUCUUCACAAAAACAUAAUUGAUUUCUAUUCUAGUCAUUCCUCCAAUCGGAGCAUCUGAUGUUUUAAAGUAUGCAAUUCUCAGCUCCUUUUGUUUACGGUGGUCGAGCUUUCAAGUCUACUCGAUCCUUCGUCUUAACACCAGAAGGUGCCUGAAUUCCACCAAGGUUCGAUUAUUUCUCACCAAAACAGCUAAAGAAUCAUCACCAACCCAGAAUCAGACGAUAUGUUGAUUGGAGAAGAUGAACAGUAAUCUUUAUGUAGUAUGUUCUAUUCUAUAUUUCGUGGAUUUAACAAAUGGAAUAGAAUAUAUAAUUCAUGGUAAUAUAAACAGUUGUAUGCCAUCAAUAUGAAUCAACUGGUCGAGAGUUUUAUGAGGACAAAACUCUAGAUCCAAAACAAAGAUAAUUU